AACGAACGCUGGCGGCAUGCCUAACACAUGCAAGUCGAACGACACCUUCGGGUCUAGUGGCGCACGGGUGCGUAACGCGUGGGAACCUGCCCUUAGGUUCGGAAUAACUCCCCGACAGGGGUGCUAAUACCGGAUAAUGUCUUCGGACCAAAGAUUUAUCGCCUUUGGAUGGGCCCGCGUUGGAUUAGCUAGUUGGUAGGGUAAAAGCCUACCAAGGCGACGAUCCAUAGCUGGUCUGAGAGGAUGAGCAGCCACACUGGGACUGAGACACGGCCCAGACUCCUACGGGAGGCAGGAGUGGGGAAUAUUGGAAAAUGGGCGAAAGGCUGAAGCAGCAAUGCCGGGUGAGUGAUGAAGGCCUUAGGGUUGUAAAGCUCGUUUAUCCGGGAUGAUAAUGACAGUACCGGGAGAAUAAGCACCGGCUAACUCCGUG
rnacentral:rRNA from 1 species